CCUGGUGGCUAGAGCGAGGUGGAACCACCCGUUCCCAUCCCGAACACGGAAGUGAAACGCCUCAGCGCUGACGAUACUGCCCGGGCAACCGGGUGUGGAAAAUAGGCCGCUGCCAGGG
rfam:Chloroflexi bacterium RBG_16_64_32 RBG_16_scaffold_11256, whole genome shotgun sequence.